UUAAUGUAAGACACAUGUUGCGUAUAUGUUUAAACCUUGAUCAUUUAACCAUGAUUAAUUGAUCUGAUUUGUCACUUUAACUUAUAAGGUUAAGUUAUUUUGUUUAACGCGUAAAUACUGAGUGCGGAUAAGUGAAAAAAUGUUUUAGCCUCUUGUUUAUAUUUUCUUAUUUGGCAUUUCAUGUAUGUCCUUUGAUGUACAGACAACAUCUGCUGAGUCAAAAGUGCUAGUUCAACU
rnacentral:lncRNA from 1 species